rnacentral:misc_RNA from 1 species
GAUGAAGAACGUAGCGAAAUGCGAUACUUGGUGUGAAUUGCAGAAUCCCGCGAAUCAUCGAGUCUUUGAACGCAAGUUGCGCCCGAAGCCAUUUGGUCGAGGGCACGUCUGCCUGGGUGUCACGCAUCGUUGCCCCCAACCCCAUUGCUUCUCCAAGAGACGAGGGCGGUUUGUGGGGCGGACAUUGGCCUCCCGUGAGCUUUUGAUUGCGGCUGGCCUAAAAGGGAGUCCUCGGCGACGAGCGCCACGACAAUCGGUGGUUGACAAACCCUCGUGUCCCGUCGUGCGUGCCUUGUCGCUCAUCUCGUGCUCUGUGACCCUAUAGCGUCGCGCUUGUGACUCUUCCAACGCGACCCCAGGUCAGGCGGGACUACCCGCUGAAUUUAAGCAUAUCAAUAAGCGGAGGA